GCCCGCGGUGGGGGCGGGGCGGGGCGGGGCCGGCACCUGCGGCCCAGGAGCGCCCCUGCGGGUGGGCUCGGGCCUGGAGCCCCGGCGGCCUCUUGAGACCCUCUUGGGACCCGGAACCUUGGGGGAGCGCGUCCACCCCUACCGGACGCGAGGCCUGCAGAGCUUCAUUUGCACGAUGAAUUAAAGCAAUUCCUUGUCAAAAGCAAUAAAGUAAUUUUGCACCCAAGAAGGAGCCUGCUACCUCACACUCCGCCUUGCGAAUGAGCUGGGUGCCCGGGCUGGAGGCCUCGGGCGUUCCACGAUGUAUUUACAAGUAUUGAACGCUUCCCAUACUUCGUGCCCUCCGAGAGACCUUUUAAAAUUCCACACAGUCCACGCAAGGCCUUGAGAAAGAGGAGGACAAUUUACCCUGUGGCUCUGCUGUAACCUCCGACGACGUCCCCUAUAAUUAAAAUGAAAAUUUGGUAAUUAUUAAUUGUGUUAGGGGUGUCCAGUAAUAUUAUUUAAAAGACUCUGCAGCAAAACAGGAAGUGCCCGUGUACAGGACUCUCCUCCAUAGCAAGUUCCUGAAAGGAAUUGAUCUUAAAUGGCUAAGGACAAGUUACCCCUAUAUCUGUUGCAAAGAACAGAAUAAAAGGUCGUGUCUAAAAUCAUCCGAUUCUAUAACUCGGAUUUCCUUAACUUGAGGUGCCCACUGGCGGCAGAUUGGAACGGUAGCCACGGACAGGAGCUGGAAGGAGAUGUCAUAAAGAUUUGUGUAAGACUGACUCUGUAGAGCUAUCUACACGGGUCACACGUAUUUAUGGUCUAUCAUGGAGUUCAUGUAAGCAGCCUAACAGAUCAUUCUAGGGGAAGGAUUAGUUCUGGAUAUUGGUGUCUAGUUUUGAAAUGAGUAGGGGGCACCCCAAAGUAGGCUAGUUAUAAGGUCAACCUUACGGUUCUACAUUGGAGCCUCAUACAAUUUUACUGCACGGCCCAUUGGGGGUGCGGCGUGGGGAAGCCUCUGAUUUCUAGGCUGCUUAAUUGAGUUCAUAUGAAUAUUGUUCCGUUUGAUGAAGUCAUGAUACCUGCUCCGAUCCACGCUUCCAGAGCGCAGGAAGGAAAGUUUUCUCCUCCCCUUCCCACCAGCUGCAAGCCUGACUCUUGCCAUCCCUGCGUCCUUCUGGCCCGAAGCCUUGUUACUGUGCGCCUGGGCCAGCGAUCAAAGCCAGGGUUUGUACUCUCAGCAUGUCCCACCAAUAGGAGGUAGGAGGUGAGUGGCAUGGGUAAACGGUCCAGAAAUUGAACUUUUGCUAUACAUAAACUAGAAUUAGGUAUUUAUAUUGUGCCAGGAGUUAACGGGUCUCACUCUUCAUGACUUCUUUAAUAUUUUUAAAGGGACCACACGGAUACCUCCAAAUGUUGAACUGCACAAAGGAAUGGGGACUAUUUCUAACAUGCUGUUAAUGAGUGGUCUGCAGGAUAUUUUGGUAAGUGAAAAAAAGCAAAGUGCCAAACUGAAAUGGUAUGCAUUGGGGGGAGGGGGUAAAAUGGGAGAGAAAUAUGAAUAUGGCUGUGCAUACAUGCAUGUAUUUGCUUGUAUUUGUGAAUAAGUCACACUGGAAGUAUAGUCCACAAAUGUUUAAAGUGCUUAUCUGCGGUGAAAGAAAGAGCACAGGGUCAGAUGGGGAUGGAAGAAGGAAUUCUCUGAAUGUAUUUUGCAAUCUAAUUUUGGCUUUGGAAACAUUCAUGUUUUAAGUGUCGAAAACGUAAAAUUAAGUCAGAAGAAAACAAUCAUGGGCAGCAGACAUACACGUCAUGCAUGUUUUUUUCUUGUUUCGUCCUCUUUGAUUCUGAGGAAAGGAUUUGAGACAGCUUUAGACAGAGCACAGAUACAGGUCUUAUCCAUAUAUGAUGCAUUUUAUAAAUUUUGUUUUGCUAAAAUUUUUUGUUUGUUUGUUUUUGUAUAACUGCUAGGGAAUAAGACAUUCAGGGAGCCUCUAGCCAGGCCAAUUAUACAACCUGAUGACAUUGUGUAUUGGUAACUAUUAACUUAUUUUGUGUUUUAAAAGUGACUAAAAAAACAAGAGUAAGCUUUGGGGUGGGUUCUGCUGGUGCCAUUCAAAAAUACCAGCCACUAGCACCUUUCAGGAUUCGGAGUCUGGAAGCGACGUACUUUAUAUAGGUGAGCACGUGAUGAUUCGCUGGCUCGUAUUUGGCUCGUGAUGGCGACACACGAGGGAUAGGUGUAUAGGUAAUUCAUCCUGGCUCUGCAAACCUUAGGUCUGGAAUGGAAUGCAGAAGGAACCAAUAUUAAAAUACAGCUACUUUUCAUGACCUCUUUGCCUCUGUUUCUCCAAACUAUGCCCACUUGUUUUUAAGUAAUCUCUCUGCCCGACUUGGGGCUCGAACUCAUAACCCCAAGAUCAAGAGUCACAGGCUGUACUGACUGAGCCAGCCAGAUGUCCCUGCUUUUGCUUGUUUUUAGAAAAUGACCAGAAUAACGUAAAAUGCAUAUAAUUAAAAAUAUGUAAUAAAGCUUAAAUUUUUAUUCUUGCUAAGCUA